UGUACACGCUGUGACUAGCAUAUCAAUAAGCGGAGGAAAAGAAACUAACAAGGAUUCCCUCAGUAACGGCGAGUGAAGCAGGAAGAGCUCAAAUUUGAAAUCUUGAAAGGUCACCUUUCACGAAUUGUAGUUUAGAGAAGUGUUUUCUGUUACGAUCGUAAUAUAAGUUCUUUGGAAUAGGACAUCACAGAGGGUGAGAAUCCCGUCUACGAUUGCGAUUUGUAGCUUUGUGAUACACUUUCAAAGAGUCGGGUUGUUUGGGAAUGCAGCCCAAAACGGGAGGUAAAUUUCUUCUAAGGCUAAAUAUUGGCGAGAGACCGACUAGCGAACAAGUACCGUGAGGGAAAGAUGAAAAGAACUUUGAAAAGAGAGUUAAAUAGUACGUGAAAUUGUCAAGAGGGAAGCGUUUAACACCAGUGUUGUUUUCUGAAAGUCAACCUCUGUUAGCUUUAUGCAUGUUUGUUUAGACCUAAUCAGCUAUCUUGCAUGUUCUAUUGUUUGCAGUGGUGCACUUUUCAGUUUACAGGUCAACAUCAGUUUUUUUUACCGUAAAAAAGUUAAAGAAAGGUAGCUCAUGGCUCCAGGUCGUGAGUGUUAUAGUCUUUUUCCUAUGCGGUAGGAGAGACUGAGGUCUGCAGUGUAGGCUAUUUGGCUAGAUACUCAGGUGCUAUGUGAUACCAUUUCAUAAACAACUUGUUGAUUAUGUUUUGUCUAUUGCAUACUCGCUUGUACUAUCAUACCUACGCUUAGGAUGUUGAGUAGCGACAUACGCAC
rnacentral:rRNA from 1 species